UGACCUGUAAUUAUUUUUUCCCAUCUGGAUUAAAUCUGAAAUUGUUUUCCUUGCUCUCCCUAGGCUGAUAAAAAUCCCAAUUAUGACUAUAUGGUCAAAACAAGGAUAAAUGUAGAGAUCUAUACUUGGAGGAGGUUAUUCUUGGGUUUUCAAGAGAGUCCGAGACUAUAGGUCUAAUUGGGUCAUAGAAGAAUGGCAGUCAGAGCAAGAGUUCCCACCACCUAGUCCAAUGUUCAUGGAGAAGAAAACCAUCACCAAGAGGAAUGAUCCAAACAUAGUGAUUCUACUGUAGACUUGUACCAGGAAUUGUGUAGAAAAUACAGAGGCAACGUGAAAUGUGAAAUGCCUGAUCAGCAGUCCUUUUAACUUCUCCAUCAAAUAAUGAUUACACUCAGGUUCUGGGAGUUACAGGUUUCCAGUUGCUUCCAAAAUGGUGUGACCAAGGAGAAGUAUGAUCAUUGUUCUUCUGGCGUACCCACAAGUUAAUAUCAGGAAGGCUCCCUGCCCCCCUACAGCUGCAAGCACUAGCACUCUUCUUUAGCCUGGAACCGUGACCAACCAGCCCUCUUCUGCUUCAUGAAACUGUGACCCAGAACUGCCUAUGGGCAAUAGAGUUGCUAAUCAAUGCCAGUUGUACCCAGUGACAAAAACAGGUAUUCAGUAAUCUCUUUUUGAUCAGUUGUCCAACCAUCUUCCCAUUUUGAGCUUAAAAACUCCUGAAGCUACUACUGAUGCUGAUGUAAUCAAUAAUACCUGUGUGUGUAUGUGGACUCUAGGUAAAGCUCCACCCUUAUACCGCAAAGCUCCUACUUUUUUUUAAUGUAGAUUUUAACAUACUGCAACAGUAUGUUAUCUAUCUUCUUUAACAUAACAGGCUAUUGAUUUCACUCAUUUGCUCUGAGCUGGAAUUCAAUUACUCAUUAACAUAAAGUAAGAAUAUUCCUAAAUGUCAUUCUUAUUGUGAAGUGCUUG
rnacentral:lncRNA from 1 species